CGUAGGGUGCGAGCGUUAAUCGGAAUUACUGGGCGUAAAGCGUGCGCAGGCGGUUUUGUAAGCCAGAUGUGAAAUCCCCGGGCUUAACCUGGGAAUGGCAUUUGGGACUGCAAGGCUCGAGUGCGGCAGAGGAGACUGGAAUUCCUGGUGUAGCAGUGAAAUGCGUAGAUAUCAGGAGGAAUACCGAUGGCGAAGGCAGGUCUCUGGGCUGACACUGACGCUCAUGCACGAAAGCGUGGGGAGCAAACAGGAUUAGAUACCCUGGUAGUCCACGCCCGAAACGAUGUCGACUGGUUGUUGGGGGUUUGACACUCUCAGUAACGAAGCUAACGCGUGAAGUCGACCGCCUGGGGAGUACGGCCGCAAGGUUA
rnacentral:rRNA from 1 species